rnacentral:rRNA from 1 species
UACAGGUCUCUUUCGAGGCCCUGUAAUUGGAAUGAGCGUAUCCUAAACCCAUGGGCGAGGACCCAUUGGAGGGCAAGUCUGGUGCCAGCAGCCGCGGUAAUUCCAGCUCCAAUAGCGUAUAUUAAAGUUGCUGCAGUUAAAAAGCUCGUAGUUGGAUGUCGGGAGUGGGCUGGCGGUCCGCCGCGAGGCGUGCCACCGUCUGUCCCGUACCCCUGCCUCCCGGUGCUCCCCGGAUGCCCUUAGCUGGGUGUCCGACGGGGCCCGGAGCGUUUACUUUGAAAAAUUUAGAGUGUUCAAAGCAGGCCGCAGCACGCCUGAAUACUGCAGCUAGGAAUAAUGGAAUAGGACUCGGGUUCUAUUUUGUGGGUUUUCGGAACCAGGGCCAUGAUUAAGAGGGACGGCCGGGGGCAUUCGUAUUGCGCCGCUAGAGGUGAAAUUCUUGGACCGGCGCAAG